rnacentral:rRNA from 1 species
AUUGAACGCUGGCGGCAGGCCUAACACAUGCAAGUCGAACGAGUGGCGGACGGGUUAGUAAGGUCUGGGAAACUGCCCGAUGGAGGGGGAUAACUACUGGAAAAGGUAGCUAAUACCGCAUACCAUCGGAUGUGCCCAGAUGGGCUUAUCUAGUAGGUGGGGUAACGGCUCACCUAGGCGACGAUCCCUAGCUGGUCUGAGAGGAUGACCAGCCACACUGGAACUGCGACACGAUCCAGAUUCCUACGGGAGGCAGCAGUGGGGAAUAUUGCACAAUGGGCGCAAGCCUUAUGCAGCCAUGCCGCGUGUAUGAAGAAGGCCGUCGGGUUGUAAAGUACUUUCAGCGAGGAGGCGUUACUCGCAGAAGAAGCACCGGCUAACUCCGUGCCAGCAGCCGCGGUAAUUC